GGUGUGUUUUAGUGGUGAAUCUUUGACAUUCCAAUCUCCAGGAACCCAAACUCGUAAUUCUGUUAUGUCUCUUACAUGGUUGAAGGCAUGUAUUAUGGUAUCUGGCUAAUGAAUGUCAAAGUAGAUGAAAGCCAACCAUCUACUUUUCCUAGGAAAGAAGGCGGUGCUUGUCGCAACUUAUUUGGGGGAUUUGUGAAGUGGAUAAUGGAAUUGAUAGUCUUGCAGUUCAACUUUAACUUGCUGAUGUUUAAUU